rnacentral:lncRNA from 1 species
AAGUUCAAAGGAUUUAGUUGAUCAAAAUUACUUUUGAUCAACUUGAAUCGUGGGUUUGAUAUGAUUUGAAAUUCUAGGUUAGAACCUAAUCUAAUGGUUAACAAUUAAUCAAGCUAAUCUAAGGGAUCUGGUUAUGAUUGAUUAAAAUUCUAUGUUAGAAAUCCUAAGGGGCAUGUUAUUAUAUGGUCAAAAAGCCAAAGUAAUUCCUAAGG